UCCCUGGUGGCUCAGAGGUUAAAGCAUCUGUCUGCAAUGCAGGACACCCGGGUUCGAUCCCUGGGUCGGGAA
rnacentral:tRNA from 1 species